rnacentral:lncRNA from 10 species
CUGUCCCCAGAUAACCCCACAUAUGCAGGACAUCACGGCACCCUGCAUUUGCAUAUUUAAAGGCUAGGGUGAGAGGGCCAAUUUUUUGGCUGGCUACGUGAAUGACAUACCUGGUCAAACCAAUCCCCUGGGCCCUAUGCAAAUCAGACAUCACCUUCUCCAGCCUCCUAGUAUCCUAAUAUAACCGCCUGUUCCUGCCUGCCCCUGCCUGCCCCCUACCACCCCAGCACUCGGGGUUUCUUCUCUGGGCUUGGAGCCCCCUCCAUCCGUCUCUGUAUGGGGGAGCUUCUUCCUUCUUUAUUUUUUGCCUAUUUAACUCUCUGCACCUUAAAACCACUCCAUGUGUGUCCCAUAUUCUUUUAUCUAAAUCGGCGUGAGGCAAAGGACCCUGGUGUUCCUCCAGUCAUCGGAGCCUUAUCAACUUCUGAGUGACGUGCAAGUGUGUCCAGAAUUGGUGGGUUCUUCGUCUCACCCACUUCAAGGAUGAAGCCACAGACCCUCAUGGUGAGUGUUACAGUUCUUAAAGAUAGUGUGUCCGGAGUUUCUUCCUUCUGAUGUUCGGAUGUGUUCACAGUUUCUUCCUUCUGGUGGGUUCGUGGUCUCUCUGGCUUCAGGAGCGAAGCGGCAGACCUUCGCAGUGAAUGUUACAGCUCUUAAGGCGGUGCAUCUGGAGUGUUCGUUACUGCUGUCUGGAAUUGUUCAUUCCUCUUGGUAGGUUUGUGAUUUCCCUGGCCUCAUGAGUGAAGCUGCAGACCUUCGCAGUGAGUGUUAUAGCUCAUAAAGGCAGUGCAGACCGAAAGAGUGAGCAGCACCAAGAUUUAUUGCAAACAGCAAAAGAACAAAGCUUCCACAGUGUGGAAGCCAAACGGAGUAGGUUGCU